AGUGAACGCUGGCGGUAGGCCUAACACAUGCAAGUCGAACGGCAGCACAGGAGAGCUUGCUCUCUGGGUGGCGAGUGGCGGACGGGUGAGGAAUACAUCGGAAUCUACUCUGUCGUGGGGGAUAACGUAGGGAAACUUACGCUAAUACCGCAUACGACCUACGGGUGAAAGCAGGGGACCUUCGGGCCUUGCGCGAUUGAAUGAGCCGAUGUCGGAUUAGCUAGUUGGCGGGGUAAAGGCCCACCAAGGCGACGAUCCGUAGCUGGUCUGAGAGGAUGAUCAGCCACACUGGAACUGAGACACGGUCCGGACUCCUACGGGAGGCAGCAGUGGGGAAUAUUGGACAAUGGGCGCAGGCCUGAUCCAGCCAUACCGCGUGGGUGAAGAAGGCCUUCGGGUUGUAAAGCCCUUUUGUUGGGAAAGAAAUCCAGCUGGCUAAUACCCGGUUGGGAUGACGGUACCCAAAGAAUAAGCACCGGCUAACUACGUGCCAGCCGCCGCGGUAA
rnacentral:rRNA from 1 species